rnacentral:rRNA from 1 species
CCCUUAGAUGUUCUGGGCCGCACGCGCGCUACACUGACUACUUCAACGAGUUGUUUCCUUGAUCGAAAGGUCUGGGUAAUCUUUGAAAGGUAGUCGUGAUGGGGAUAGAUCCUUGCAAUUUUUGAUCUUCAACGAGGAAUUCCUAGUAAACGCAAGUCAUCAGCUUGCAUUGAUUACGUCCCUGCCCUUUGUACACACCGCCCGUCGCACCUACCGAUUGAAUGGUCCGGUGAAUCUUUAGGACUGUGGCUGAGGCCUUGCCUUGCGCGGGUCUGGCCGUGGGAAUUUAGUUAAACCUUACCAUUUAGAGGAAGGUGAAGUCGUAACA